UCUCCGUUGGUGAACCAGCGGAGGGAUCAUUACAGAGUCGUAAAACACUCCCAAACCCAUGUGAACUUACCUUUGUUGCCUCGGCAGGAUCUACCCGGUAGCUACCCUGUAGUUACCCUGUAGCCUGCCGGUGGACUAUUAAACUCUUGUUUUCAUACAGUAGUACUUCUGAGCAAACAAAACAAAAAUGAAUCAAAACUUUCAACAACGGAUCUCUUGGUUCUGGCAUCGAUGAAGAACGCAGC
rnacentral:misc_RNA from 1 species